GGGGGGAGCGCCCGAUCUUGGGCUGUGUCCCCAGCGCCCUGGGCUCCGGGGCCUGCGCUGCUGGAAUCGCGCUUCCGGGCCGCGCAGCCCCCU
rnacentral:pre_miRNA from 1 species